UGAGUAUGCCAGGCGGCCGCGCGAGUGACAACUCUCGAGGAACGUCCGGGCUCCGUAGGGAGCAGUGGUGGGUAACGCCCACUCGGGGUGACCCGCAGGAAAGUGCAACAGAAAUAAAACCGCCGCAAGGUAAGGGUGAAAUGGUGAGGUAAGAGCUCACCGCGAGCAUGGUGACAUGCUUGGCAUGUGUAAACCCCACUGGGAGCAAGGCCAAACAGUGUGCGUCGAGGCGUCCCGCUGAGCACACGGGUGGGCUGCUUGAGGCGUACGGCAACGUACGUCCUAGAUGGAUGGUCGCCUCUAGCGAAUCGCUAGAACAGAACCCGGCGUAUCGGCAUGGUCACAAA
rnacentral:RNase_P_RNA from 1 species